CAGUCGCCGCGGGAAUACGUAGGUGGCAAGCGUUGUCCGGAAUUAUUGGGCGUAAAGCGCGCGCAGGCGGAUCAGUCAGUCUGUCUUAAAAGUUCGGGGCUUAACCCCGUGAGGGGAUGGAAACUGCUGAUCUAGAGUAUCGGAGAGGAAAGUGGAAUUCCUAGUGUAGCGGUGAAAUGCGUAGAUAUUAGGAAGAACACCAGUGGCGAAGGCGACUUUCUGGACGAAAACUGACGCUGAGGCGUGAAAGCCAGGGGAGCGAACGGGAUUAGAUACCCGAGUAGUCCCUGUCUCUUAUACC
rnacentral:rRNA from 1 species